rnacentral:rRNA from 1 species
UACGAAGGGGGCUAGCGUUGCUCGGAAUCACUGGGCGUAAAGCGCACGUAGGCGGAUUGUUAAGUCAGGGGUGAAAUCCUGGAGCUCAACUCCAGAACUGCCUUUGAUACUGGAGAGCUUGAGUCCGGAAGAGGUGAGUGGAACUCCGAGUGUAGAGGUGAAAUUCGUAGAUAUUCGGAAGAACACCAGUGGCGAAGGCGGCUCACUGGUCCGGUACUGACGCUGAGGUGCGAAAAGCGUGGGGAGCAACA